GACGAACGCUGGCGGCAUGCUUAACACAUGCAAGUCGAACGGAAAGGCCCUGCUUUUGUGGGGUGCUCGAGUGGCGAACGGGUGAGUAAUACGUGAGUAACCUGCCCUUGACUUUGGGAUAACUUCAGGAAACUGGGGCUAAUACCGGAUAGGAGCUCCUGCUGCAUGGUGGGGGUUGGAAAGUUUCGGCGGUUGGGGAUGGACUCGCGGCUUAUCAGCUUGUUGGUGGGGUAGUGGCUUACCAAGGCUUUGACGGGUAGCCGGCCUGAGAGGGUGACCGGCCACAUUGGGACUGAGAUACGGCCCAGACUCCUACGGGAGGCAGCAGUGGGGAAUAUUGCACAAUGGGCGGAAGCCUGAUGCAGCAACGCCGCGUGCGGGAUGACGGCCUUCGGGUUGUAAACCGCUUUCGCCUGUGACGAAGCGUGAGUGACGGUAAUGGGUAAAGAAGCACCGGCUAACUACGUG
rnacentral:rRNA from 1 species